rnacentral:lncRNA from 10 species
GCCUUGUCAUAGAUCAGAUGAUUGUAGGCAACGGUCUUGACUUAAAGCUGCCUCAUGAGAGUCUACUUUUGCCAAGUACUGAGAAGUGGUUCCACUGGCCUAUCCACCUCCCACCUCGUUUCAGAGGCCUAAACUUUGGAAUGGAUAGACUAAGCACAUCAGUUUGUUUGGGGAAGACUAGAAAGUCAAAUCAUUUCUUCUGAAGAGGCAAGAAUUGAGGUUGCUGCAGACUUGUAUGACUUUGCCACCGGUAACUUGGAUACCUUCCACCAGUAACAUUUAAGGCACAUAACUGGGUAUUCAUAGUACUCGGGGGCCUUGCCAUUGUGUGAUUAAGACCACAGACUGUGAUGCUGCACUGCCCAUCUACCACACUGAAAAGCUGUCUGGACUUCUGCAAGUUUCUUAACCUCUCUGUACCUCAGACUCCUCAUCUGUACAAAAAAAGAAAUUAUAUAUGUAUAUAUAUACAGUGGUCACCUCACAGGAUUUUUUUGAAGAAUAAAAAAUUUUAAAUAAAUAAAACACUUAAUACAUGAAACACGACUGCAUUAUUUUUACUCAUUAAUUUUAAAUUGCAAGAGAGAAAAGGAGAAAUGAUUAUCAAGCAUUAUUUGUUCCUAUGAGGAUAAGUGGGAUUUUGAUAUAAGCAAAAC